CAAGUCAAUUUGUGGGACAUAAUGGCACAAUUUAGAAAGGAAUAUUGCAGACAGUAAGACCACUUGGAUUAGAAGUCUUGAAUCAGUUUGCAGGGCUAUAUAUUUCUGUAGCGUUGUGUUUUGUUGUGUGGGGAAUUUAAUAAGAGAUGUAAAUCUAAAAACCAUGAUGGUAUUUCCAUAAAAUAUAAAAGAUUCAUGUAUUAUAAAUAGAUACGAUAAAUAAAUUAUUUAUGUGAACGUAUAUCUGUGUGUGAUUGUGUGUAUGUAGGCACACAUUCACUUUUCUUUUUGAACUAAUUAGUGGUGAAGUCAUCUAUCGUGCGUUGCCCUGUGACCUGUGCAAGAGCUUUAAUGGCAUUUCCUGCAAAGAGCUGAAGGUAGAGCCUGCUUUGUGCUGAGCAGCUCCAACUCAUUCAGGUGGGGAAUACAACAAGCCACGAGCAGAACAAAGCUAUCCAAAGUGCCGAGGCAGCCCUGAGCAUCACGAUGGCAAACCUGAGCCCCAGGAGGGUGACUCCAUCAGAUAUCAGAUACUGAAUCAGACGAACCAGAAAGCCCUCCCCAGCGUUUCCUCGCUCCAGCUAUUGACUAUCUAAGCAUCUCUAAGCGUUAAGAUGAAUGAUAAUUGAGCAGUAGUAUUAAUUUGCACCCGUUUUUUCCCCCUUGCUCACUCCCCCAUCCACAGGCACUGUAAAAACCUCUCCUUGUGCCUGCUGCUUUUUUUCCUCCUCCAGGCAGCCCUCCUGUAUUAAGGGAUGGGUACCAUCGCUUUAGGAAUAUCUGACUUUAAAUUUCCAGGAUGCUGAGCAGAAAACUUCCAGCACCUGAAGCACCUCAGCCUGUAGCAGAUGAGUGCUGCAAAAGGCAGUGGCUAUUUUAGCUUCAGGUCUGCGUGUGACUAAUAUGUUGUUGUAGAUACCUGGCUGCAUUGAGGUCAGAGCAGGGGCAAGCUGUCUCUUCUGCAGUGAAUUAGAGGCUUACAUUCAUUAUCUUCCAAUACCUCAUUAAAACAGCUUUAAUGUGGUGAACAUUUGAUGGUAGACAAAAGCUUUAAUCUUGUGAAUAUCAAACACACCUGUGUUACAUUUCCUCUUGCGAGCAGUUAGCAGAAACAGGUUAACAAGCUAUUUUAACUCCUUAAUCUGCUGAAUUUGCGUGGAAACCAGACUUUCACCAGUCACCUGAGUUUGAACUCCAAAAAAAAAAAAAAAGCAGCCCGCUA
rnacentral:lncRNA from 1 species